rnacentral:rRNA from 1 species
AUUGAACGCUGGCGGCAUGCCUUACACAUGCAAGUCGAACGGCAGCACGGGAGCUUGCUCCUGGUGGCGAGUGGCGAACAGGUGAGUAAUACAUCGGAACGUACCCUGAAGUGGGGGAUAACGUAGCGAAAGUUACGCUAAUACCGCAUAUUCUGUGAGCAGGAAAGAGGGGGAUCGCAAGACCUCUUGCUUUAGGAGCGGCCGAUGUCGGAUUAGCUAGUUGGUGAGGUAAAGGCUCACCAAGGCGACGAUCCGUAGCGGGUCUGAGAGGAUGAUCCGCCACACUGGGACUGAGACACGGCCCAGACUCCUACGGGAGGCAGCAGUGGGGAAUUUUGGACAAUGGGCGCAAGCCUGAUCCAGCCAUGCCGCGUGAGUGAAGAA